rnacentral:rRNA from 1 species
UACGAAGGGGGCUAGCGUUGUUCGGAAUUACUGGGCGUAAAGCGCACGUAGGCGGACUUUUAAGUCAGGUGUGAAAUCCCAAGGCUCAACCUUGGAGCUGCAUUUGAAACUGGAAGUCUUGAGACCAGGAGAGGUUAGCGGAAUACCGAGUGUAGAGGUGAAAUUCGUAGAUAUUCGGUGGAACACCAGUGGCGAAGGCGGCUAACUGGACUGGUACUGACGCUGAGGUGCGAAAGUGUGGGGAGCAAACAGG